rnacentral:lncRNA from 1 species
GAGAAACCACCCCUUGGUCACACAAAUGGUAGAAAAAUGGCUUGACCGCUACAGACAGAUCCGGCCUUGUACAUCCCUGUCUGAUGGAGAGGAAGAUGAGGAUGAUGAGGAUGAAUGACAACAAACCUAAGGAAAGAAAAAGACCAAGGCAUCAGGUCUGAGGUGGCCUCAAAGUUAGUGUGGUAUCCUAAACAGAAUAUGCAGCAUGGAGCGAGCCAUACCCUGCCGGAUCUGCUCCCAAGUUAUCUUUCUGUUCCACACUCACAGGAGAGAAUUGACUGCAUCUGCAUGAGGAGAUGGAGAACUUUGGUUGAACUACAGUUUGUAAAAAAGAAAAAAAAAAAAAAAAAAGAAAAGAAAAAAAAAGAAAAAAGAAAAAAAAUAACCUAAUUUUAUUGACAGAACUUUUUUUUCCUUUCAAAUUGUAAAUCUGUCUAUGAAUGUAACGCAUGUGGUUGUUUGAGAAGUUGUGUACUAGGAAAAGUGCACCAGCAUCUUCAUGUUACUGAGACCAUUUUCCCAGCAUGGGCACUCAUAAACAGCACAUAGCAGACAGACCAGUGAGAUGCUCUCUCUCUCAUUAGCACCUGACAUCCUGCUCCCACCACACCAGACCCAUUUCCCAUUGUUUUAGAGAUUUGGAAACUUUGUACAAAUUAUCCACGGCAAGAUAAAAAUAAACAAGCCUUUAUUUUAUUAAUAAUUUAGUUCCUGUUGUGCCCAAUAAAAG